UUAAGCGACUAAGCGUACACGGUGGAUGCCCUGGCAGUCAGAGGCGAUGAAGGACGUGCUAAUCUGCGAAAAGCGUCGGUAAGGUGAUAUGAACCGUUAUAACCGGCGAUGUCCGAAUGGGGAAACCCAGUGCAAUUCGUUGCACUAUCGUUAACUGAAUACAUAGGUUAACGAGGCGAACCGGGGGAACUGAAACAUCUAAGUACCCCGAGGAAAAGAAAUCAACCGAGAUUCCCCCAGUAGCGGCGAGCGAACGGGGAGCAGCCCAGAGUCUGAAUCAGCUUGUGUGUUAGUGGAACGGUCUGGAAAGUCCGACGGUACAGGGUGAUAGUCCCGUACACCAAAAUGCACAGGCUGUGAACUCGAAGAGUAGGGCGGGACACGUGGUAUCCUGUCUGAAUAUGGGGGGACCAUCCUCCAAGGCUAAAUACUCCUGACUGACCGAUAGUGAACCAGUACCGUGAGGGAAAGGCGAAAAGAACCCCGGCGAGGGGAGUGAAAAAGAACCUGAAACCGUGUACGUACAAGCAGUGGGAGCACCUUCGGGUGUGACUGCGUACCUUUUGUAUAAUGGGUCAGCGACUUAUAUUCUGUAGCAAGGUUAACCGUAUAGGGGAGCCGCAGGGAAACCGAGUCUUAACUGGGCGUUAAGUUGCAGGGUAUAGACCCGAAACCCGGUGAUCUAGCCAUGGGCAGGUUGAAGGUUGGGUAACACUAACUGGAGGACCGAACCGACUAAUGUUGAAAAAUUAGCGGAUGACUUGUGGCUGGGGGUGAAAGGCCAAUCAAACCGGGAGAUAGCUGGUUCUCCCCGAAAGCUAUUUAGGUAGCGCCUCGUGAAUUCAUCUUCGGGGGUAGAGCACUGUUUCGGCUAGGGGGUCAUCCCGACUUACCAACCCGAUGCAAACUACGAAUACCGAAGAAUGUUAUCACGGGAGACACACGGCGGGUGCUAACGUCCGUCGUGAAGAGGGAAACAACCCAGACCGCCAGCUAAGGUCCCAAAGUCAUGGUUAAGUGGGAAACGAUGUGGGAAGGCACAGACAGCCAGGAUGUUGGCUUAGAAGCAGCCAUCAUUUAAAGAAAGCGUAAUAGCUCACUGGUCGAGUCGGCCUGCGCGGAAGAUGUAACGGGGCUAAACCAUGCACCGAAGCUGCGGCAGCGACACUAUGUGUUGUUGGGUAGGGGAGCGUUCUGUAAGCCUGCGAAGGUGACCUGUGAGGGUUGCUGGAGGUAUCAGAAGUGCGAAUGCUGACAUAAGUAACGAUAAAGCGGGUGAAAAGCCCGCUCGCCGGAAGACCAAGGGUUCCUGUCCAACGUUAAUCGGGGCAGGGUGAGUCGACCCCUAAGGCGAGGCCGAAAGGCGUAGUCGAUGGGAAACAGGUUAAUAUUCCUGUACUUGGUGUUACUGCGAAGGGGGGACGGAGAAGGCUAUGUUAGCCGGGCGACGGUUGUCCCGGUUUAAGCAUGUAGGCUGGUUAUCCAGGCAAAUCCGGAUAAUCAAGGCUGAGGUGUGAUGACGAGGCACUACGGUGCUGAAGUAACAAAUGCCCUGCUUCCAGGAAAAGCCUCUAAGCAUCAGGUAACAUCAAAUCGUACCCCAAACCGACACAGGUGGUCAGGUAGAGAAUACCAAGGCGCUUGAGAGAACUCGGGUGAAGGAACUAGGCAAAAUGGUGCCGUAACUUCGGGAGAAGGCACGCUGGUGUGUAGGUGAAGCCCCUGCGGGUGGAGCUGAGACCAGUCGAAGAUACCAGCUGGCUGCAACUGUUUAUUAAAAACACAGCACUGUGCAAACACGAAAGUGGACGUAUACGGUGUGACGCCUGCCCGGUGCCGGAAGGUUAAUUGAUGGGGUUAUCCGUAAGGAGAAGCUCUUGAUCGAAGCCCCGGUAAACGGCGGCCGUAACUAUAACGGUCCUAAGGUAGCGAAAUUCCUUGUCGGGUAAGUUCCGACCUGCACGAAUGGCGUAAUGAUGGCCAGGCUGUCUCCACCCGAGACUCAGUGAAAUUGAACUCGCUGUGAAGAUGCAGUGUACCCGCGGCAAGACGGAAAGACCCCGUGAACCUUUACUAUAGCUUGACACUGAACAUUGAGCCUUGAUGUGUAGGAUAGGUGGGAGGCUUUGAAGCGUGGACGCCAGUCUGCGUGGAGCCAACCUUGAAAUACCACCCUUUAAUGUUUGAUGUUCUAACGUUGGCCCCUUAUCGGGGUUGCGGACAGUGUCUGGUGGGUAGUUUGACUGGGGCGGUCUCCUCCCAAAGCGUAACGGAGGAGCACGAAGGUUAGCUAAUCCUGGUCGGACAUCAGGAGGUUAGUGCAAUGGCAUAAGCUAGCUUGACUGCGAGCGUGACGGCGCGAGCAGGUGCGAAAGCAGGUCAUAGUGAUCCGGUGGUUCUGAAUGGAAGGGCCAUCGCUCAACGGAUAAAAGGUACUCCGGGGAUAACAGGCUGAUACCGCCCAAGAGUUCAUAUCGACGGCGGUGUUUGGCACCUCGAUGUCGGCUCAUCACAUCCUGGGGCUGAAGUAGGUCCCAAGGGUAUGGCUGUUCGCCAUUUAAAGUGGUACGCGAGCUGGGUUUAGAACGUCGUGAGACAGUUCGGUCCCUAUCUGCCGUGGGCGCUGGAGAAUUGAGGGGGGCUGCUCCUAGUACGAGAGGACCGGAGUGGACGCAUCACUGGUGUUCGGGUUGUCAUGCCAAUGGCACUGCCCGGUAGCUAAAUGCGGAAGAGAUAAGUGCUGAAAGCAUCUAAGCACGAAACUUGCCCCGAGAUGAGUUCUCCCUGAGACUUUAAGUCUCCUGAAGGAACGUUGAAGACGAUGACGUUGAUAGGCCGGGUGUGUAAGCGCAGCGAUGCGUUGAGCUAACCGGUACUAAUGAACCGUGAGGCUUAACCUU
rnacentral:rRNA from 1 species